rnacentral:rRNA from 1 species
AUGGGGUGACUGCGUACCUUUUGUAUAAUGGGUCAGCGACUUAUAUUCUGUAGCAAGGUUAACCGUAUAGGGGAGCCGUAGGGAAACCGAGUCUUAACUGGGCGAAUGAGUUGCAGGGUAUAGACCCGAAACCCGGUGAUCUAUCCAUGGGCAGGUUGAAGGUUGGGUAACACUAACUGGAGGACCGAACCGACUAAUGUUGAAAAAUUAGCGGAUGACUUGUGGAUGGGGGUGAAAGGCCAAUCAAACCGGGAGAUAGCUGGUUCUCCCCGAAAGCUAUUUAGGUAGCGCCUCGUGAACUCAUCUUCGGGGGUAGAGCACUGUUUCGACUAGGGGGUCAUCCCGACUUACCAACUCGAUGCAAACUGCGAAUACCGAAGAAUGUUAUCACGGGAGACACACGGCGGGUGCUAACGUCCGUCGUGAAGAGGGAAACAACCCAGACCGCCAGCUAAGGUCCCAAAGUCAUGGUUAAGUGGGAAACGAAGUGGGAAGGCUCAGACAGCCAGGAUGUUGGCUUAGAAGCAGCCAUCAUUUAAAGAAAGCGUAAUAGCUCACUGGUCGAGUCGGCCCGCGCGGAAGAUGUAACGGGGCUAAACCAUGCACCGAAGCUGCGGCAGCGACACAAAGUGUUGUUGGGUAGGGGAGCGUUCUGUAAGCCUGCGAAGGUGUACUGUGAGGUAUGCUGGAGGUAUCAGAAGUGCGAAUGCUGACAUAAGUAACGAUAAUGCGGGUGAAAAACCCGCACGCCGGAAGACCAA